UCUGAUGAAAUUGUCACCGUUGGCCAGUACUUCUGCUGAAGUGCAGGAAGGGGGUAGAUUCAGAUUUGCUAAAUAAUUUUUGGCCCGGACCCAGUGGAUGAUUCACAUUAAGCUGCAGAAUAAAGGGUUUCAGUUUAAAGAGCUUCUGGCACGUAACUUCGGUUCAUCUGUCACUGGAAUGAGGAGGAAGAAGAAGGGAAGGUUUUCGCAUGGAAAACUUCAUCGGCCGGUAGGGGGACAUGCGUAGUUUGCCUCUGGUCAGCUGAAAGCUAUAGAUCUUCUUUGGCUUCAGCACCGUUUUUGGCUCAAUGAAUGAUCAGAUAAGUUGGUCCACUGUCAUGGUAGGGGACCACUAUAUAAAGAUGACAGAAGUUCAUCCCAAAAAAGGAAAAAAAGAAGAAGAAGAAGAGAGAGACAAGGAUGAUCGAAAGGGGAAGGGUAGGGAGGUGGUUGAAGAGUUAAUUACAGCUCAAAGUUCGUGUGCUUGCAUAGUUCUUAAAAGAUUGAACGUGACCAGCAGAUCAAAUUGCUACCAUGGUGAAGGACCCCGGCCGUCCAAUUAUCAUGAAAGCUCGUGUGCAAAAUAAAUGGGUAUGGUCCUUCCGAUCGAAAAGGCUAUGAUUUGAAGGCAAAACAAUCUUUUUUAAAGGUCAGGGGCGGUGAUUUUGUUGGAAAGUUUUUUUUUAAAUAAAAAAUUAUUGAAAAAAAUACAAAAUCCCCCAUUGUGAUUUGUGAUUGAGACAAAUUGUAUUAUGUACUUUUGUUAGGAUAAUUAACCCUCUUAUGGUGUACUCCGUUAA